rnacentral:rRNA from 1 species
AGUGAACGCUGGCGGUAGGCCUAACACAUGCAAGUCGAACGGCAGCACAGUAAGAGCUUGCUCUUACGGGUGGCGAGUGGCGGACGGGUGAGGAAUACAUCGGAAUCUACUUUUUCGUGGGGGAUAACGUAGGGAAACUUACGCUAAUACCGCAUACGACUUACGGGUGAAAGCAGGGGAUCUUCGGACCUUGCGCGAUUGAAUGAGCCGAUGUCGGAUUAGCUAGUUGGCGGGGUAAAGGCCCACCGAGGCGACGAUCCGUAGCUGGUCUGAGAGGAUGAUCAGCCACACUGGAACUGAGACACGGUCCAGACUCCUACGGGAGGCAGCAGUGGGGAAUAUUGGACAAUGGGCGCAAGCCUGAUCCAGCCAUACCGCGUGGGUGAAGAAGGCCUUCGGGUUGUAAAGCCCUUUUGUUGGGAAAGAAAAGCAGCAGGUUAAUACCCCGCUGUUCUGACGGUACCCAAAGAAUAAGCACCGGCUAACUUCGUG